rnacentral:antisense_RNA from 16 species
CUCUGCGGCGGAACGGGAGGGGGACACCUUCGGGUGUGCUGGAUUCUUUGGCUCCAGUCUGCUAACCCUCUUUCGUUUCGCCACC